GUGGGGAAUAUUGGACAAUGGGCGAAAGCCUGAUCCAGCCAUGCCGCGUGUGUGAAGAAGGUCUUCGGAUUGUAAAGCACUUUAAGUUGGGAGGAAGGGCAGUAAGUUAAUACCUUGCUGUUUUGACGUUACCGACAGAAUAAGCACCGGCUAACUUCGUGCCAGCAGCCGCGGUAAUACGAAGGGUGCAAGCGUUAAUCGGAAUUACUGGGCGUAAAGCGCGCAUAGGUGGUUUUGUAAGUUGGAGGUGAAAUCCCCGGGCUCAACCUGGGAACUGCCUCCAAAACUGCAUGACUAGAGUACGGUAGAGGGUAGUGGAAUUUCCUGUGUAGCGGUGAAAUGCGUAGAUAUAGGAAGGAACACCAGUGGCGAAGGCGACUACCUGGACUGAUACUGACACUGAGGUGCGAAAGCGUGGGGAGCAAACAGGAUUAGAUACCCUUGUAGUCC
rnacentral:rRNA from 1 species